ensembl:lncRNA
GUUGAUAUCAGUUUCUUCAGUCAUGUCUGAAUGUAUUAUGACCCCAUGUAAGUUGUUUUUUUUUUUUUCGGCAAAAAUACUUGAGUGGUUUGACAUUUACUUUUCCACUCAUUUUACAGAUGAAGAAACUGAUGCAAACAGCACUGAGUGACUUGUAGAGUGGGACAACUACUAAUCAUCUGAAGCCAGAAGUGAACUCAUGAAGAUGGGCAUUCCUGACUCCAUGUCUGUUACCCUAUCCAUCGCACUUCCUAGCUGUGCCCUACAUAUAUAUAUAUAUAUAUAUAUAUAUAUAUAUAUAUAUAUACAACCACGAAAUUUGAAUAUGUAGGUAAUAUAAAUAUAUAUACAUAGACAUGGAAUAUAUCCCUAUGUAUAUAAUAAAGUAUAUGUACAUAAAUUGACAUCUAGGUGUGAUAGUGGAUAGAGCACCAAGCCUGAGGUCGAGAAGAUCCAAGUUGAAAUCUGGCCUUAAACAUCCUAUGCUAAUCAUUUAUCCCUGUUUGCCUCAGUUUCUUUGUCUAUAAAAUGAGCCAUAAAAGAAAAUGACAAACCACACCAAUAUCUUUGACAAGAAAAAUAUCACAAAUGGACUCAUGAAGAAUCAGACAUGACUGAAAUAUCUGAAAAAUGUGCAUGAAUAUACAUGUAAUAUAUUAUGUAUAUUACAUGUAAAUUAUAUCUUCCAUUGUGAUAGAGGAAUGAUCCAGAGACAUUGAAGGGCAGAGCCUGGAAGACAUGCAGAGGUUUGCAUUCCUGGUUGGAGAUGGCGGAGGAGGCUUGGAAUCUUGAAGGAAGAGAGAUUCCAGGUGAGAGGCAGUUGAUCUCUAUCUUGAGAUGGCAAAGAUACCAAGAAGUGUGGCAGAAACCUGAGAAGAAUAAGAACAGCAUAACAAGAUCUCACACAGCUCCUGUGACACCCGGGGUCUGGACAUUGGCUCUGCUGUGAUUAGACCAGGGGUCACAAACCUGAACCUCUCAAAGACCAGGCUGGCAAGCCUGAGUCUCAACUUUGGAGGGAGGGAAAGGGAUAUUUUAGACAGGCAGGGACUGCUUUUAUCCUCUUUCCUCUAGACCCUAACCUUCAGACAUCUUUUCUUAUUUUACCCCUAACCACAAUUUUUAGAAUAAUGUUGUCAGUUAUCCUAAAUUGACUUUCUUGUCAUAGUGGAAGAGGGAGAGAGCUGAUUUCUCUCUCCCCAAGGGGAGAGUUUCACCUAUUAAAUCAGUUAUUAGAGGGGAUUAAAGGCAGGGUUAGUGGGGAGACAUAUUUGAAGAAGACUUAAGGGGGGGGGAUCCAUCUCACCCUCCUUCUACCUUCAGGGCAUUUAUCAUCAACUCCAUUAUACCCAAACCAACCCUCUAAUACACCACAUACAUGAAUUUUACCUCUGACAUACUAGCUCUGUGACCAUGGACAAUUCACUAAUUCUCUCAGUGAUCCCCCCAAAUCUCUGAGACUAUAAAUUAUGAAAUGGUUGUCAAUCUAUAUUGGUAAAGGGGAUUUCUAUCCAGACCUAGAGCUCCUUAUCACAAUUAUAUUCCAGGUCAGGGACAAAUUUAUAGAAAGAAGAGCAACUCAUAUAUAUUUUGGCAUACUUUGUGACCUGUAGCCUAAAAAUUGACAAAUACUCCAAAAGAUUAUAUGAUUUGUCCAUGUGGGCAGAAUAUCAGGAUAGAUCUUUGUGACUCAAAAGAUAAUCACUCUAUCCACAAUACCAUCCUGCCUCCUGUAUGAAUAUAAAUGACUAAAUAAACAUGUGCACAUAGACCUAAUCA